UGCACGUCUGCACUGUGCUCACGUGUGUGCCUGCCGAGUGUUGAUUCAGUGAUCGGUGGCGCCAGCUCUGAGCAGAGUGUUGGGGUGU
ensembl:miRNA